GACAGAGGGGGCAAGCGUUGCUCGGAAUUACUGGGCGUAAAGGGCGCGUAGGCGGGAUGGCAAGUCGGUCGUGAAAUCCUUCGGCUCAACCGAAGAACGUCGAUCGAUACUGCUGUUCUUGAGGGUUGCAGAGGAGACUGGAAUUCCCGGUGUAGCGGUGAAAUGUGUAGAGAUCGGGAGGAACACCGGUGGCGAAGGCGGUUCUCUGGGCAUUACCUGACGCUGAGGAGCGAAAGUGUGGGGAGCGAACAGG
rnacentral:rRNA from 1 species